UGGUAUCGUGGAGUUCCCAGGAGGAACUGUC
rnacentral:piRNA from 1 species